UACGGGGGGGGCAAGCGUUGUUCGGAAUUACUGGGCGUAAAGGGCUCGUAGGCGGCCAACUAAGUCGGAUGUGAAAUCCCCAGGCUUAACCUGGGAAUUGCAUCCGAUACUGGAUGGCUUGAAUCCGGGAGAGGGAUGCGGAAUUCCAGGUGUAGCGGUGAAAUGCGUAGAUAUCUGGAGGAACACCGGUGGCGAAGGCGGCAUCCUGGACCGGCAUUGACGCUGAGGAGCGAAAGCCAGGGGAGCAAAUGGG
rnacentral:rRNA from 1 species